ensembl:lncRNA
AUGAGGUUUGCGUCCAGUGUCUUUCGCUCCGCCCUUUUCUCCUUAUAUGGUAUAGAACGCACCCAACGUUCUACGCUUAUGUAAACAAACAGAAUUUUUCACGUGCGCGGCAGAUUCGAAUAAGGAGGACAACAUUUUACUGAAAACAUAACAAAAUCAACGUUUUUAUGCACGGAAAGCAGUCGAAUCACUUCAGAACGCUUGGAAUAACGUAUACGAAGCAUAUGGAUAACGCUGAUUGUGUUUUUGGAGCUUGACGCUUAAUGAUCAUCACUCCUCCUAGUGUUUCACGGAUGUAAACGUCAUCGGAUUGGACGUGAAGAUUUAAAGAAUGUCUUUGGACUACACAUCUACUCAACAGAGCCAGAGUUCGAGCUGUGUCUUUCACUCAUGUUCAGGUUUACUGCCCCAGUUUUGUGCCAGGUCACUGUCAGAUGUUAGCUGACUUUCUUUGGAUUCGCCUCAGGUCACUGUCAGUUGCUGGCCGAUUUCUCUUGGUUUCGCCCCAGGUAUUGGGCCGUCCAGGCCACUGUUGGGUCAACCCAACAUGCUGAGGUUCUUGGAUGCUUCAUUGAGAUGAUCGACAUCACUGGGAUGCAUAAAAUGUACAUUAUGUAAAUUAAAUAUAUUUAUGAUCAAGCAAAUCUGCAUUCACCUCAUGAGGUUUCUGUUAUUCUGCUUUUGAUGUUCAUUCAAUGAUUCAACUCUCAAAAAGACAUUGACUGUACUCCACCCUGUGGUGUAAUGAUGUAAUGAUCAGGAGGUCAAUGUGUUACAUUUAUAUUGUGCUUUUCUGGCUACUCAGAGUGCAUUGUAUUUACAUGGAAGGGGGAAUCUCCUCAACCAUGACUCGUUUAUGACUCAUUGAACGAAUCUGAACAAAAGUGAACAUAAGAAAAAGAUUCAAGUAAAAUGAUUCAUAAUCAACACCACUAAUAUAGAUUUUAUAGAUGUGAACCAAAACCAAAACAAAACAAACCUUUGUAUGUGUAAGCAUAUUGGCCAAUAAAGCUCUUUUUGACUGAAUAAUUUUUGUGAAA